CCCUUUUUAUCUCCUUUCCUCUCAUACAUACAUACAUACAUACAUACAUACAUACAUACAUACAUACAUUCGACAAGCACGUGAAACAAUAAUAUGAUCCUACGUUAUACGUUCGUAAACGAUCAAUAAAUAUAUCGUAUUCUCGAAAAAUAAAACAUUGUCUCUCUUAUAUUUGUCUGUUUUCUAAUCGACAAAUCUAAUCGAAAAAUCUGAUCACUUAUCUACUCGUUCUAUUCUUUAUUUACUAUCGCAUUAAUUUUAUCGUCGAACUUACGUACAUACACGUUCAUUCGUUCCUUCGCUCAUUCAUUUAUGUAUCACCUUCGAGUUAAGAGAGAGACGUAUCGAUAUGACUUUCGAGAAAUUUAAUUAAUUCAUAGCAUUAAUUAUUGCCUGAUAAUUAUUUUCCUUUCUUUUUUCUUUCUUUUUCCAUCUUCUUAUUUCUUCUUUCUUUUUUUUUUCUUUUUUUUUUUCAUUUUAUCUCCUUAUUACUUUUGAAUAUUUUCAUAAUCUCGAGAUUCCUCGAAAGCGUAAAAGUCAUGCGUAAUAUUUAUAUCGUACGUGUUUAUUUGCGUAUAUACGUGAGAUUGAUUUUACGUAUCGACAUUCGAUUUUGUAUUUACGAGAUAAUAUCGUUAGUCAACAUUGCGUGAAGGUUAAUUUCAUUCCAGUAUCGUCAGCCGAUCAGUAAGGACAUGCGACCGUACGUUUCUCUGUGAAAUAGAGAGAGAGAGAGAAAGAGCACAAGUCUCUCUGUCUCUCUCUCUCUCUCUUUCUCUCUCUUUCUCUCUCUUUUUCUUUCUUUCGAAGUGGCGCGUGUCGUCGUCUAAACAAUCAUCGAACUUUCUAAUCAUACGUUUCUUUUUGUCCGUAUUCGAACGAGAGAAACGAGUGAAUAAAUAAAGAGAGAGAGAGAGAGAGAGAGAAAGGGUAGGGGGAGGAAAGAGGGGAGGAGUGGUUCCUCCUGUUCUGAAUCUGGAAACGUGUAGUGUUUUCUAUCUAUUUCGAAAGUAAUAUGCCUGGCUAAAUAUUAUGAAUCAUGAGGAAGAGAGAAAAUGGAAAACAGAUUGGAAAUAAGGGAUGAACGAACGUAAAGAAAAGAAAAGGGGAAAAGUAAAAUGGCGAAGACAAAAAAUAUCGGGAAAACGAAACG